AGAAAUGUGUGAUGUUGGAAUGGCUCAAUCAAAUCAAAUCUCCCAAGAAUUGGGUCCUUUGGUUUGAUUGAGCCGUGCCAAUAUCACAGUUACGUUA
rnacentral:pre_miRNA from 1 species